UACGGAGGGUGCAAGCGUUAAUCGGAAUUACUGGGCGUAAAGCGCGCGUAGGCGGUAAUCCAAGCUGGAUGUGAAAUCCCCGGGCUCAACCUGGGAACUGCAUUCAGAACUGGGUUGCUAGAGUACAGAAGAGGGGUGUGGAAUUUCCGGUGUAGCGGUGAAAUGCGUAGAGAUCGGAAGGAACAUCAGUGGCGAAGGCGACACCCUGGUCUGAUACUGACGCUGAGGUGCGAAAGCGUGGGGAGCAAACAGG
rnacentral:rRNA from 1 species